UAGGGAAUCUUCCACAAUGGACGCAAGUCUGAUGGAGCAACGCCGCGUGAGUGAAGAAGGUUUUCGGACCGUAAAGCUCUGUUGUUGGUGAAGAAGGAUAGAGGUAGUGACUGGCCUUUAUUUGACGGUAAUCAACCAGAAAGUCACGGCUAACUACGUGCCAGCAGCCGCGGUAAUACGUAGGUGGCAAGCGUUGUCCGGAUUUAUUGGGCGUAAAGCGAGCGCAGGCGGAAGAAUAAGUCUGAUGUGAAAGCCCUCGGCUUAACCGAGGAAUUGCAUCGGAAACUGUUU
rnacentral:rRNA from 1 species